rnacentral:ncRNA from 1 species
AAGGAGUCCACUUUAAAUCCUUUAAGGCAGCGGUUCUCAACCUGUGGGUCGCAACCCCUUUGGGGGUCGAACGACCAUUUCACAGGGGUCGCCUAAGACCAUCGGAAAACACAUAUAUAAUGACAUAUUGUUUUGUGGUUAAUCACUAUGCUUUAAUUAUGUUCAAUUUGUAACAAUGAAAUUGGGGGUCACCACAACAUGAGGAACUGUAUUAAAGGGUCACGGCAUUAGGAAGGUUGAGAACCACUGCUUUAAGGAUAUUCUAUGGCUAGAGGUGAAAUUCUCAGACCUGCGCAAGAGGGACCAGUGAAAGCAUUUACCAAGAAUGUUUUCAUUAAUCAAGAACUAAAGUCGGAGGUUCCAAGAUAAUCAGAUACAGUCAUAGUUCAGACCAUAAAGGAUGCCCACUGGCU